AGGAAAAUAAUGCUUCCAGCACCGAGAGCCUCAUCGUAUUCAUCAUGCUUCGUCUUCCACAUAGAGUUCCCGAUAUGCCUCGUCAAUGACUUAUGCCAACCCCCAAAAUCUCCCUCGGAGUGUUCAAAUUCCUCCUUCAGCGUCGCUCCAAAGCCCUCUCGCGCCUCCUUUCCUCCACAACCACUACUAACCAUAACACCCAUCUUACACUUUUCGAAACAUUGUACAAAUAAUAUUAGGUAAACGCAGAGAGAAACCGUCAAGCCGCCGCUCACUAGAAAAGUCGGCCGAUGUUUCGGAGACUCCGACGCCACAGGAGAUUGAGGAAUGAUGUGGUUUUUAUGUGGCUUCUCCGGAGAAGGAAGUGGAUUCGGCAGCUGGCCUGCAAGGUAUAUCCUUAAGGGAUCGCCAACGGAGGGACUCCGCCGUGGAGGAACUCGGUCACGCACGACGACCUACAACUGAGUAGUAACUUCAGCAAAGAUGACACAGACGCCACUUCACGUUUCUGUUGGUUAUAACAGGGCCGAGAUAGUAAAAUUUCUUCUUGAUCGGCAAGGGACAGAUAAGGUUGAGUUGGAAGCCAGGAACAUUUAUGGAGAAACUCCUUUGCACAUUGCAGCAAAGAAUGGGUGCAAUGAUGCUGCAUAGGUUCUUCUUGGUCAUGGUGCUAUUAUUGAAGUCAAAGCAAAUGUGCUUUUUCUUAUUACCUUAUGAUCCAUUUUUUGAAGAGUUCAAAUUAAAAGUGGGAUUUGGAUUUCUGAUGGAGGGCAUGACUCCUCUAAAUCAUCUCUCACCAGGCCCAAGAAGUGAAAAGUUGUGGGAACUAUUGAACUGGCAUCUAGGAGAGCAGCGGAAGAGAAGAGCAAUCGAAGCAUGCAGUGAAACUAAAGCUAAGACGGAUGAGCUUGAAAAUGAAAUAUCAAAUGUAGUAGGUUUGCAUGAGCUUAAGGUACACCUACGGAAAUGGGCAAGGGAAAUGCUUUUGGAUGAGAGGCGUAGAACCCCACAUAUGGCAUUCCUUGGCAAUCCUGGAUCAGGCGGUGGAGGUCGACUCGAUUAUGGAGUUCAUGUCGUAUCUGUUGAGUUCAUCUUCUCUAUUUGAUGAAGUUUUGGGGUCCGAACCGGAGUCCCCCAUGUCGGUUAUCUCCACUACCUCCACGAUGCCAUUUUAUUCAAAACAACCACAUUGAAAUGGUCAAGUACUGCAAAAAAUCCUAGAAGACCUUUCUUAGGGUGUUCAAAGUACAAUACCCAGGGCUUACCAUACUGUAAGUUUUUCAAGUGGUUGGAUGGUAAUGAAGUAAUUGACCUACAAGUUGAAGAAAGAACAGCCGAACUGUUAAAGAAAGAGAAAGAGGUCGAGAAGAUACUCAAGCUUCUUGAAAAGAGGGAGAUUGAGCUGCGUAAGAUAGUGGAUCGCCUCGAGAGGGUGCAAAUGGUACUAUCCAAUAAAUGCGACGAUGUUAUACAAAAGGAGUUGGUGCUUAAU